GACGAACGCUGGCGGCGUGCUUAACACAUGCAAGUCGAACGGAAAGGCCCUGCUUGCAGGGUACUCGAGUGGCGAACGGGUGAGUAACACGUGGGUGAUCUGCCCUGCACUUCGGGAUAAGCCUGGGAAACUGGGUCUAAUACCGGAUAGGAGCCAUUUUUAGUGUGAUGGUUGGAAAGUUUUUUCGGUGUAGGAUGAGCUCGCGGCCUAUCAGCUUGUUGGUGGGGUAAUGGCCCACCAAGGCGGCGACGGGUAGCCGGCCUGAGAGGGUGGACGGCCACAUUGGGACUGAGAUACGGCCCAGACUCCUACGGGAGGCAGCAGUGGGGAAUAUUGCACAAGGGGCGCAAGCCUGAUGCAGCGACGCCGCGUGGGGGAUGACGGCCUUCGGGUUGUAAACUCCUUUCGCUAGGGACGAAGCUUUUUGUGACGGUACCUAGAUAAGAAGCACCGGCUAACUACGUG
rnacentral:rRNA from 1 species